rnacentral:lncRNA from 1 species
CCUUUGUUUCCAUGGUGAUUUUUACAUGCAUUUCAGUCGAGGACCAUUGUGCUGAGACACACUGAGAAUCUUCUCCUUGUGAGAGCUCCCUAGAUUGAUUUCAAACAACAGUGCUCACCAGGAGCGCAAGCUGAAUUCUAAAUAAUGACAUCAAGACUUUGAGUAGCAGAGGGAGCUGUCAUGGAAUGGCCAACAAAAAGAAAAAAGAACACCAUUACGAGAGAGAAGGCUUAAUGGAAUUUUUGAAAGCGUAGAUGAAACCACUCUAGAUUGCUCUAGAUUGCUCUGAUUUGGUAUGUGAGUGAACACCGGACAGGAGACUGAGCAGGGCUUAUGCAUGGACACUGCUGGACACUGCUGCAUCUGUUCCAUCCAUGAGAUCAGACAAACCAUCUAAAAGAUUUAUCUGUUUCCUUGUGAGUGAGUCAGUUUGCUCCUGCUUUCAUCAUCUCAUGUGGUCAGAAGACAACACAUCACAGAAGGUCAGGAAUGGAAAGUUAGGCAUCACAGAGAUGAGACCCCAUGAUCAUGAUCGUGUGCUGCUCACUUUCCCCUCUGGAGCCAAUUUGCAUGAACCCAGUGUUCCAACUAGGGUGGCUGAGCAGCAGGAACCCAUUGCUGACUGACACCGAGACCCACCUAGAGCUCAACAUAGCAGCUCACAGAUCCUGACCUGGCCUCUUGGAACUGCCUACGUGAACACAUCACAGCCUCCCUCCUCCAAAGGACACUACCAUGCUGUGGACCGUCCCACGCACUGAGUCCCUCAACCUCCCUUCCAGUCUGUUGUUCCUUUCUCCACGAGUUAGAGAGAACUCUGUAGUGGUGGGCUGAAGGUGUGUCCCAGGCAUUUCUGGAACUUUUUGCACUCCCUCAUCCCUGAUGUUAUCUGUGCAGAGCAGCAGACAAUUGGACCAGUGAUUUCCCUCCAGAAGAGCCCUUAAUGGUUGAUUAUUCCCGAUGGCUGCUGCACAUCAGCCAGCUCUGGCUUUCUGGUCUCGCAAAAGAUCCUAUAAGGAAUCUAAUUUCAUUUCUUUCUUUUUUGCUUAAAAUAGUAAGAGUGGAUUAUAUUGUUUGCAACUAAAUGUCCUUCCUGAUAUCUCCAGCUGUUGUAUACUCUUUUAUAUCUACUGUUAUCUCUUGCCUUUACAGCUAUAGUGUAAGAAAAUUGUAGAUAGACACUAUGUUUUAUCCUCUUUUUGAAUCAUUUAUUGUCCCUUUCACAGUGCUGGGUACACAAUAGGUACUCAGAAAUAUUUGUUUU